GUGGCGGACGGGUUAGUAACACGUGAGAACCUACCCUUUAGACAGGAAUAGCCCAUGGAAACGUGGAUUAAUGCCUGAUAGUCUCUACGGAGUAAAUGGUGCCUCCGGGUAUCGCUAGAGGAUGGGCUCGCGGCCUAUCAGCUUGUUGGUGAGGUAAAGGCUCACCAAGGCGACGACGGGUAGCUGGUCUGAGAGGACGAUCAGCAACACUGGAACUGAGACACGGUCCAGACACCUACGGGUGGCAGCAGUCGAGAAUCAUUCACAAUGGAGGCAACUCUGAUGGUGCAACGCCGCGUGGAGGAUGACGGUCCUAGGAUUGUAAACUCCUGUCAUUGGGGAGUAAGACUUAAGCGUUAAGAGCGUUUAAGUUUGAUAGU
rnacentral:rRNA from 1 species